rnacentral:rRNA from 1 species
GACGAACGCUGGCGGCGUGCCUAAUACAUGCAAGUAGAACGCACAGUUUAUACCGUAGCUUGCUACACCAUAGACUGUGAGUUGCGAACGGGUGAGUAACGCGUAGGUAACCUGCCUGGUAGCGGGGGAUAACUAUUGGAAACGAUAGCUAAUACCGCAUAAUAUUGAUUAUUGCAUGAUAAUUGAUUGAAAGAUGCUAUUGCAUCACUACCAGAUGGACCUGCGUUGUAUUAGCUAGUAGGUGAGGUAACGGCUCACCUAGGCGACGAUACAUAGCCGAACUGAGAGGGUGAUCGGCCACACUGGGACUGAGACACGGCCCAGACUCCUACGGGAGGCAGCAGUAGGGAAUCUUCGGCAAUGGACGAAAGUCUGACCGAGCAACGCCGCGUGAGUGAAGAAGGUUUUCGGAUCGUAAAGCUCUGUUGUAAGAGAAGAACGGGUGUGAGGGUGGAAAGUUCACAAUGUGACGGUAUCUUACCAGAAAGGGACGGCUAACUACGUG